rnacentral:tRNA from 1 species
GCCUCGGUGGUGGAAUUGGUAGACACACGGGACUUAAAAUCCCGAGGGGGAAACCCCGUGACGGUUCGAGUCCGUCCCGAGGCA